rnacentral:rRNA from 1 species
AUUGAACGCUGGCGGCAUGCCUUACACAUGCAAGUCGAACGGCAGCACGGGGGCAACCCUGGUGGCGAGUGGCGAACGGGUGAGUAAUGCAUCGGAACGUGCCCAGUAGUGGGGGAUAACCCGGCGAAAGCCGGGCUAAUACCGCAUACGACCUACGGGUGAAAGCGGGGGACCGUAAGGCCUCGCGCUAUUGGAGCGGCCGAUGUCUGAUUAGCUAGUUGGCGGGGUAAAGGCCCACCAAGGCGACGAUCAGUAGCUGGUCUGAGAGGACGACCACCCACACUGGGACUGAGACACGGCCCAGACUCCUACGGGAGGCAGCAGUGGGGAAUUUUGGACAAUGGGCGCAAGCCUGAUCCAGCCAUGCCGCGUGCGGGAAGAAGGCCUUCGGGUUGUAAACCGCUUUUGGCAGGAACGAAACGGCGCAAGCUAAUACCUUGCGCUAAUGACGGUACCUGCAGAAUAAGCACCGGCUAACUACGUGCCAGCCGCCGCGGUAAUAC